CCAAUAGCGUAUAUUAAAGUUGUUGCAGUUAAAAAGCUCGUAGUUGAAUUUCGGGGUUAGUAGGUUGGUCAUGCCUCUGGUAUGUACUGGUCCCACUGAUUCCUCCUUCCUGAUGAGCCGUAAUGCCAUUAAUUUGGUGUUGCGGGGAAUUUGGACUGUUACUUUGAAAAAAUUAGAGUGUUUAAAGCAAGCUAACGCUUGAAUCCAUUAGCAUGGAAUAUUGAAAUAGGACGUUCGAUCCUAUUUUGUUGGUUUCUAGGAUUGACGUAAUGAUUAAUAGGGAUAGUUGGGGGCAUUAGUAUUCAAUUGUCAGAGGUGAAAUUCUUGGAUUUAUUGAAGACUAACUACUGCGAAAGCAUUUGCCAAGGAUGUUUUCAUUAAUCAAGAACGAAAGUUAGGGGAUCGAAGACGAUCAGAUACCGUCGUAGUCUUAACCAUAAACUAUGCCGACUAGGGAUCGGAUGAUGUUAAUUUUUUAAUGACUCAUUCGGCGCCUUACG
rnacentral:rRNA from 1 species